CACACACACACACACACUUUUAGAUCAAAUGUGGAAACACUGAUGUGAUGAAAUACACAAUCCUACAGUUAUAAAAUACUAUAUUGUUAGUUUAAGUUAGGCUCUAAAACAAUCAGAAUCAGGAAUAAGGAGGUACAGAAGGCUUUUUGUGUGGGAGUUUUUGUGCGUUUUAACCCAGGGGCCCAGCAGAGUGGCAUUAGUAAUGAUGGGUGUCUGCAAAGCCCCGAUCUUCCCACAUAUGAGAUUUCCAGCAUUAGUAGUAAAAUGUCUGCCCUCGGGGACAGUAUUAGAGCCGAGGGACCAAAACGGCGAUGGAGAUAGAUGACUGCAGAAAGCCUCAGAGGCGGAUUAGGAGGAGCCUGCUUCCCCAAAGCACUAAUUGUCUCUCAGGGCAGACAGUAGCUACAGUCGCCGCUGGCAACCACUAAUGAGAUGUGACAAGCUUUAAUUGAUGAACUUUGGUGAGGGGCAGAGAAGGGAGGAAUGGGACUGAUGGAAAUGAGAUAAGAACAGGAGUGAGGAGCUGUUCUCACCCGCAGGAGCCGUUGUACUCAUACUUUCCCUGGUUCAACUGCAUGGCCAGAUCUGAGAGAGACAAUAAGACAAGUUCUGAUGAGACGCAGAUAUCAGAAGCUCCACCUCUUGUGUGACUCCCCCUUCCCCCCUCAGGCUUGCACAUGCUCCGCUCCCAGCAGACCAUAUGGUCCAACCCCUUUUGCCUCUGGUCAUGGGGCAACAGCUGUUUUCCAACAGAAAACACUCACUGUAUAGGUGUGUAUGUAGCGGAGAGAGAGAAU